rnacentral:rRNA from 1 species
GAUGAACGCUAGCUACAGGCUUAACACAUGCAAGUCGAGGGGCAGCAUUUUAGUUUGCUUGCAAACUGAAGAUGGCGACCGGCGCACGGGUGAGUAACACGUAUCCAACCUGCCGAUAACUCCGGGAUAGCCUUUCGAAAGAAAGAUUAAUACCGGAUAGUAUACGAAUAUCGCAUGAUAUUUUUAUUAAAGAAUUUCGGUUAUCGAUGGGGAUGCGUUCCAUUAGUUUGUUGGCGGGGUAACGGCCCACCAAGACUACGAUGGAUAGGGGUUCUGAGAGGAAGGUCCCCCACAUUGGAACUGAGACACGGUCCAAACUCCUACGGGAGGCAGCAGUGAGGAAUAUUGGUCAAUGGGCGCGAGCCUGAACCAGCCAAGUAGCGUGAAGGAUGAAGGCUCUAUGGGUCGUAAACUUCUUUUAUAUGGGAAUAAAGUUUUCCACGUGUGGAAUUUUGUAUGUACCAUAUGAAUAAGGAUCGGCUAACUCCGUGCCAGCAGCCGCGGUAAUACGGAGGAUCCGAGCGUUAUCCGGAUUUAUUGGGUUUAAAGGGAGCGUAGGUGGAUUGUUAAGUCAGUUGUGAAAGUUUGCGGCUCAACCGUAAAAUUGCAGUUGAAACUGGCAGUCUUGAGUACAGUAGAGGUGGGCGGAAUUCGUGGUGUAGCGGUGAAAUGCUUAGAUAUCACGAAGAACUCCGAUUGCGAAGGCAGCUCACUAGACUGUCACUGACACUGAUGCUCGAAAGUGUGGGUAUCAAACAGGAUUAGAUACCCUGGUAGUCCACACAGUAAACGAUGAAUACUCGCUGUUUGCGAUAUACAGUAAGCGGCCAAGCGAAAGCAUUAAGUAUUCCACCUGGGGAGUACGCCGGCAACGGUGAAACUCAAAGGAAUUGACGGGGGCCCGCACAAGCGGAGGAACAUGUGGUUUAAUUCGAUGAUACGCGAGGAACCUUACCCGGGCUUAAAUUGCAACAGAAUAUAUUGGAAACAGUAUAGCCGUAAGGCUGUUGUGAAGGUGCUGCAUGGUUGUCGUCAGCUCGUGCCGUGAGGUGUCGGCUUAAGUGCCAUAACGAGCGCAACCCUUAUCUUUAGUUACUAACAGGUUAUGCUGAGGACUCUAGAGAGACUGCCGUCGUAAGAUGUGAGGAAGGUGGGGAUGACGUCAAAUCAGCACGGCCCUUACGUCCGGGGCUACACACGUGUUACAAUGGGGGGUACAGAAGGCGGCUACCUGGUGACAGGAUGCUAAUCCCAAAAACCUCUCUCAGUUCGGAUCGAAGUCUGCAACCCGACCUCGUGAAGCUGGAUUCGCUAGUAAUCGCGCAUCAGCCAUGGCGCGGUGAAUACGUUCCCGGGCCU